rnacentral:rRNA from 1 species
UACAGAGGUGCCAAGCGUUACUGAGAUUCACUGGGUUUAAAGGGUGCGUAGGUGGCGCGUUAAGUCAGUUGUGAAAUCCCCGGGCUCAACCCGGGAAAUGCUUCUGAUACUGGCGUGCUUGAGGCCGGUAUAGGUUACUGGAACGGACGGUGGAGCGGUGAAAUGCGUAGAGAUCGUCUGGAACGCCAGUGGUGAAAACGGGUAACUGGGCCGGUUCUGACACUGAGGCACGAAAGCGUGGGGAGCGAACGGG